UCGAGAAUCUUCCGCAAUGGACGCAAGUCUGACGGAGCGACGCCGCGUGCGGGAUGAAGGCCUUCGGGUUGUAAACCGCUGUCAGCGAGGUGGAAAUGCAUGGGGGCUAUCUUCCAUGUUUGACCUAAUCGCAGAGGAAGUCCGGGCUAAGUUCGUGCCAGCAGCCGCGGUAACACGAACCGGACAAACGUUAUUCGGAAUUACUGGGCUUAAAGAGUACGUAGGCGGCAUUGCAAGUUGGGUGUGAAAUCCCUCGGCUCAACCGAGGAACUGCGCUCAAAACUGCAAUGCUAGAGGGAGACAGGGGUGAGCGGAACAGAUGGUGGAGCGGUGAAAUGCGUUGAUAUCAUCUGGAACACCGGUGGCGAAGGCGGCUCACUGGGUCUCUUCUGACGCUGAGGUACGAAAGCUAGGGUAGCGAACGGGAUUAGAUACCCCCGUAGUCC
rnacentral:rRNA from 1 species